ACGAACGCUGGCGGCGUGCUUAACACAUGCAAGUCGAACGGAAAGGCCCUGCUUUUGUGGGGUGCUCGAGUGGCGAACGGGUGAGUAACACGUGAGUAACCUGCCCUUGACUUUGGGAUAACUUCAGGAAACUGGGGCUAAUACCGGAUAGGAGCUCCUGCUGCAUGGUGGGGGUUGGAAAGUUUCGGCGGUUGGGGAUGGACUCGCGGCUUAUCAGCUUGUUGGUGGGGUAGUGGCUUACCAAGGCUUUGACGGGUAGCCGGCCUGAGAGGGUGACCGGCCACAGGAGGACUGAGAUACGGCCCAGACUCCUACGGGAGGCAGCAGUGGGGAAUAUUGCACAAUGGGCGGAAGCCUGAUGCAGCAACGCCGCGUGCGGGAUGACGGCCUUCGGGUUGUAAACCGCUUUCGCCUGUGACGAAGCGUGAGUGACGGUAAUGGGUAAAGAAGCACCGGCUAACUACGUG
rnacentral:rRNA from 1 species